rnacentral:lncRNA from 1 species
AAUAACUUCACCACUGCACUUAAGUUGCCAGCCUUCAAUGGAAGCGAUCAAUUUUAUUAACAAACCUGAGCUUAUUUCUAGCGCAAUUAAAACAGCAUUGUAGUUAUCAUUUGGUUAUCGAUCUCUAUAAAGCAUAGUGCUGACUAAUAUUUAGUAUUAUACGGCUUUUAGCGGCGAGAUGGGCGUCAGUUCUUCCUGUGCCCCGAGACAAGCCAGGGAAUCUUCCUGAACUUCAGCAAACUCCUGUGCUGCAGACACAACAAACUGCCCUUUGCUGCUGCACAGGUGGGCCCAGCGUU